CGCCAGCCCGCCAGCCCGCCAGCCCGCCAGCCCGCCAGCCCGCCAGCCCGCCAGCCCGCCAGCCCGCCAGCCCGCCAGCCCAGCGCCGCGGCACUCGGACCUCGCGCCUUUCGCCACCGGAUCCGGAAGUAGCCCCACGCAAGGCGGAAGACCCGCCCGGCCUCCCGCGCGCCGCUGGCGGGGGCGGGCCCUUCCGCAGGCUCCGCCCUUCGCCUUUCCUGGGAGAUAAGGAUGGGCUCGUUCUGCAGAGGCGCAACCGACGCGCAGGCGCUCUAGUGGGCUGGUCUCGCACUGAGGCCCAAGGGGCAUGGACUCCGGGUUCCUGCCACGGCCGGGGGUUCCGUUCCCAACCUGACCUCCCGGUCGCCCCUCUCGGCGGUCCUCGAGAAGGUCUAGAGUUCCGGCUGGCCAUUACACCCAGUCUCGGGUUUUCUCCCCUCCCCUGAAGAAGCUGAUCCUUCUUGCCACCACUGGCUGAUGUCCCUCAAGCCAGAUAUUCUGAUCCUGAUGGUAGCAUCUCCUCAUUGGCCUUUCGCCAUUAGAAUCUAGGCAGAAAGAUUUCUUCUCCAAGUGUUUAAUUUUGUAUCUUCCUCAUUCAUCAAGGGUGCACAGACCUGGAAAACAUGCUAUGCGAAAGAAGCCAGAUAUAAGAGAUCAAGAUAUAAGAGAAGCCAGAUAUAAUGGUUGCCAGGGGCUGGUGUAUGGAGAAAACAGGGAGUGACUGCUUAAUGUGCAGGAAGUUUCCACUUUAGGGUAGUGAAAAAAAAUCCUGGAACUAGUAAGUGUUGAUGGUUGCAUAACAUUGUGAAUGUACCUAAUGUCACUAAAUUGCACACUUUAAAAUGGUCAAAAUGAGGGGCGCGUGGCUGGCUCGAUCGGUGGAGCGUACCACUCUUGACCUUGGGGUUGUGAGUUUGAGGUCCAUGUUGGGUAGAGAGAGAUUGCUUCAAAAUAAAAAAUCUUUAAAAUGGUCCAAA